rnacentral:rRNA from 1 species
UACGAAGGGGGCUAGCGUUGUUCGGAAUCACUGGGCGUAAAGCGCACGCAGGCGGAUCGAUAAGUCGGGGGUGAAAGCCCGGGGCUCAACCUCGGAAUUGCCUUAGAUACUGUCGGUCUCGAGUCCGGGAGAGGUGAGUUGACUUCCUAGUGUAGAGGUGAAAUUCGUAGAUAUUAGGAAGAACACCAGUGGCGAAGGCGGCUCACUGGCCCGGUACUGACGCUCAGGUGCGAAAGCGUGGGGAGCAAGCAGG